UACAGAGGUGGCAAGCGUUGUUCGGAAUUACUGGGCGUAAAGGGCGUGUAGGCGGUCUUCUAAGUCAGACGUGAAAUCCCCCGGCUUAACCUGGGAACUGCGUCUGAUACUGUGCGGCUAGAGUGCGGAAGGGGCAACUGGAAUUCUUGGUGUAGCGGUGGAAAUGCGCGAUAUGGAGGAGACACCGGUGGCGGAAGGCGGGCUGCCGUGGGCGAAGU
rnacentral:rRNA from 1 species